rnacentral:rRNA from 1 species
AUUGAACGCUGGCGGCAUGCCUUACACAUGCAAGUCGAACGGCAGCACGGGUGCUUGCACCUGGUGGCGAGUGGCGAACGGGUGAGUAAUACAUCGGAACAUGUCCUGUAGUGGGGGAUAGCCCGGCGAAAGCCGGAUUAAUACCGCAUACGAUCUACGGAUGAAAGCGGGGGACCUUCGGGCCUCGCGCUAUAGGGUUGGCCGAUGGCUGAUUGGCUAGUUGGUGGGGUAAAGGCCUACCAAGGCGACGAUCAGUAGCUGGUCUGAGAGGACGACCAGCCACACUGGGACUGAGACACGGCCCAGACUCCUACGGGAGGCAGCAGUGGGGAAUUUUGGACAAUGGGCGAAAGCCUGAUCCAGCAAUGCCGCGUGUGUGAAGAAGGCCUUCGGGUUGUAAAGCACUUUUGUCCGGAAAGAAAUCCUUGGCCCUAAUACGGUCGGGGGAUGACGGUACCGGAAGAAUAAGCACCGGCUAACUACGUG